rnacentral:rRNA from 1 species
UACGUAGGGACCGAGCGUUUGUCCGGAUUCAUUGGGCGUAAAGAGCUCGUAGGCGGCUAUUCAAGUCGAACGUGAAAUCUCGGAGCUCAACUCCGAAACUGCGUUCGAUACUGGGUAGCUAGAGUCUGGUAGGGGGAUCUGGAAUUCCUGGUGUAGCGGUGGAAUGCGCAGAUAUCAGGAGGAACACCGGUGGCGAAGGCGGGAUCCUGGGCCAGUACUGACGCUGAGGAGCGAAAGCGUGGGGAGCAAACAGG